GGUGUGGAUCAUUCUUGAGCAUCCCAUCUGUUGGUGUGAUGUGUCACACCAGCAUAUCUCCUUUCUCGUUUAGUUGGCUUACGAAGGCAAUUGGAUUGGAGUUCAUCCCGCUUUCCUGCGGUGUUUGGCGUGCAUGUGAAGUAGAGGGUCUGCAUAUCCAAACCUCCAUGAAGGUUUAAUCCAAAUAAAUUGAGAUUUGAUCUCUGGUUC
rnacentral:lncRNA from 1 species